rnacentral:lncRNA from 1 species
AAUUGUAUUAUAAUUAUAAUUUUAAACUGUGUAUGAUUUAAUGAAAAAUCACUUAUGAAUUUUGUUUUAUUUUAGUUAAAUAUAUUUUGUGUACUUAUUAAGAUCAUUGUUUUAACUGGUUUGUGUUUAAAAUUAUUAAUUUGUUUCUAUAGUAUUAGAUAUCAUGUAAUAAUGUUUGUAUUUUUUUAUUUAUUGUCAUAUUAUUUUUUAGUGUAACAAACCCAAAGAAUGCAGUAAUAGUUAUAGAAAUAAUCUAAACAACAGUUUAAUGUUAACAUGAUUCAUUGUCUAUGAUAUUGUUAUUGUUAAAAAUAAUUGUUUUAGUAAUAAUGUAAUCAUAACUAUAAGAUUGUUGCAGUUUGUAUCAUUGUAAAACGUCAAUGACUAAAACAAAUUAUAAUGAAGUAUCAAUCGUGAAAGUACAAAGAAGAAACAAUUUUAAGUACCUAAUCUAAGCAUUUAAAGAAUAAAAGAUAUUAUCUCAUGUCAAUUUUAUAAAUAGUAUAAAGUUAUAAGGUACUUACUCUAUUAAUUAUAUUAAUUGUUACAUUUGUUUUACUUCUAGAUGAACCAAUUUACUUUGGCACAAAGAUGAACAGUAUUUGCAGUAAAAACAUAAUUUAAUUUUUAAUUUUAAUGUUUUUUUUAUUAUUAAAUAUAUACAUUAUAUGAUGUUAAUGAAUUUAUUGUGGAAAUUGGCAGUGAUCAUUGGAAAAGUUUGCAUUAUUUGAUAUGAAAUUUUUUAAAUGGUACUCAUUCGGUGGACGGUGAAGAAGAUAUUCAUUGCCCUAACAGAUGUGGUCGUAAGUAUAAGCACAAAGGCAGUGUGGCUAGACACUUGAAGUAUGAAUGCGGAGUGAAUCCUAAAUUUGAAUGCGUUAUUUGUCGUAAGCCUUUCAAGCAACGUAUCAAUCACAAGAUACAUAUGAUUAGAAUACAUAACUGUGUUAUGUAAAUAACAGUAUUAAUACACAUUGUUAAUUUAUAACUAUUAAUUAUUGAAUAUCUAUUAUAUAUUUAAAUUAUUGUUUUGCCAUAAAAUAAAAUUUAUCCUAUUAUUAUUAUACAGAAUUAAUAUUUUUUUAAAUAAAAUGCUAUGAAAUAUUUUGGGAUUUAGUUGCUUGUUGCAAACAAAAAAUAUCUGUAGAAAACUAAAUGAACCUAAUAAUCUUUACCUUCAAAUUAUCUUAGUUAUAAAUAACUGUAAGUUAUAAUGCAUUUUUGUGUAAAUAUGUGUGCUUCUAACAUAAUAGCUAGUUUAAUUACUUGUUUAACAUUAAUUAAUUAACAUUUUUUUUUUUCACAGAAAUGCGUAUACUAGGUAGUGAAUCAUUGGUCAACAGUAUUCAAGAAUUAAUUGUAUGCCCUCAAAAUUGCGGCAGAAGUUAUAAAAAUAUACCCUGUCUAAACAAACAUUUAAAAUAUGAAUGCAAUAAAGCACCACAAUUUCAGUGUCUUUUCUGCGAUAAAAAGUCUAAGCGUCCGGAUAAUUUAAGAACACAUAUGCAGUUAGUUCAUCGUUUCACUAAUAAAAUAAUAUUUAUUAAAAAACAUACAUUUCCCUAAUCCCUAAGGUAUUUUUUAAGUACUUUUUUUUCUUUUUUACUAGAACGAACAAGAUAUAAUCUGUAAUAAAUAGUAUACAAUAGUUAAUAGGGGGGGGGGGGGUACAAGUAUAAAGGACUAGACGGCAUGAUAGAAAGGGGGAUUCCAGGGACCCUACUUCCUAACUAUAGGCUGUUUUUGUGAUGUUUUAUUUAAUUUUUUUUUUUUAGUGUUAAGGAGGUCCCUGGGCCCAUUUUGUUUAAAAUGGUGUGGAGUUAAAAUAUUAAAAGGGUAAUGCGUAAAGUUAAUGAAAGUUAUCAAUUAUCUGAAACCUUGUUUUUCUAUAGAAUCUGUAGAAUUUCUUUUUUGUAUUGUUUUCUACAUUACUUAGUAUAUCUAGACUUAGUUUAUACACUUCUUAUUAUUUAAAUAGAGUUUUUGAUCAAUUUUUACUGUAAGAAUUGUUAAAAUUGUAAUAAAAUUGCCCACACUAAUUGCCUUAAUGGCUUUUAAAAUUCUUGUGUGCCCUAAUUUUUAAUGAGCGCCCCCAGACCAAAAGUCUGAGAACGCUUAUGAUUUCAACUGCUACAUAGGAGAUUAUAAGAUAAGUAAUUUAAGCAUUAAUUUUAGUAAGUCAAUAAAGCAAAUGAGCUGAGACAUGUUGGGAGUGUGUGGAUGUACGCUCUCUAGUAUACCAUAUUAUUAUGUAUGUAUUUUUUUAAUCAAGCAUUGAUGUUGGUAUGUUGUGUUUUAUUAAUAAAGUGUUUUUGUUUGAUUA